AAUAAAUUAGUUAAAUUAUAAUAUUAAAAUGUCAUUUUAAAUUUAUUGAUAAAUUCAGUAUUUUUUA
rnacentral:tRNA from 1 species